CUAAUGAAUAUUGACUGCUAAUUAGUAUGUUUUAGCGCCCAAUCAAGAGAAAAGCCGCCAAUAUAGUUAUGUUUUCUUUUCAUAUUCCCUCUAAUUUCUAAAUCCUUUCGCGCCUAAAUUUUUAUAUCGUAUUUACCCUAAAGACUGCAAAAAAGAGAAAAAGUUUCGUUCAAAGAAAUUGCUGGCCACCAAAAUUCGUUCAAAGAACAAUUUCGUUCAAAGCGCCUUCUCCAUUCUUCAAUCCUCAGCAACCAAAAUUGCUGGCCACCCUCUGAAUCACCGUAUGUCCUUGAAGGAAUGAUUAACAAUUAGUUUGACUUUCCUUGGACCUGGGAUAAUUGAUGAAAUUAUCUAAUGCAAUCUGGGAAAAUUUAGUUCAGUUUCAGCUUCUCAAUUUCCUUAUUUUGGAUAAGGAACUAUGCGAACUAGAGGUGGAAACAUAAUUAUUGUUGAACAACAUGAUGAUGCAGAUGCGCGACCUUAUAUUGAUGAAAAGAAGAAACUGGUGGAGUUUGUGAAGAAGCGCACACAAGCAAAUAGAAAUAAUAGAGCAAAUCAAAAGAUGCCUCACACAGGAGGGUCCUAAAGUAUUGCCGCCUUGAUGGAUGAGAAGGUCGUUUGUUUUCGCAUGUGGAAGAUUUCAAUAUGAUGAAGAGUUACCGAAACUAUUUGAAUAUAUUGUUUGAUAGGAUUAGUUAUAUCAGUUCAAUCAAUAUAAGUUUAAUUUAAAAGUUGUGACCUUAAUAUUUUGGAUUGGUACUUCCUUUGGAUUGUUUAGAUUCAAUGAGAUAUAUUUUGUUUUAUGAA